GCGAUUUUGAUUAAAAGAUUUAUAUUCUAAAUAUUCGGUGACCCUGGGGAAUCAAAUUCUAAUGUUCCUGCAAGAAAGAAAUGUCGCGUGUUUUUUUAUAAAUACGCCUCGUUUAACGAAGGACCAAAGAGUUUCGAUAUGUUUAGAAUAUGUAAGGGUAACUAAUGCUCGUGAGGUUAUUUCUGCGGCGUUGGGCAUGUCUCUGAAAACGAACGUCAUGCACUUUCUGACUUUCGUGUGUCUAAACACAGGUUAUUGCUGUAUUAAUAUUUGAUAGGCCGUUUUUGGCUAAUUUUCGACACUUUCAAAAAUGGUUACUCAAGUUUAAACGUAUAGCUCUCUCGGUCAAUAUUGCACGAAAAUGCACAAUUUAAGUUAGACAAUACUGAAUGCAAUGCACGUAGUUCACGUGUAAUUGCUCCCUCAGUUUUUAAGUUAAAACAAAUCAAUACUUAACAGGGCAAAUUUUUUUU